rnacentral:piRNA from 1 species
UUACAGAUAGUUCCAACUUUGGUAUCAUAU